AAAGCUGGAGACAUGCAGAUCCAUCCUGAUACCCUAAAGAAAUGUAUGAAUUCUGUUCUCAGAAACCUGUGUGUGUGCCUGUGCCAGUUGGAGGAAUCUGCAGAUCUCUGAGGACUGUCUGUGGACCCUGUUUAGAGCCUCAGCAGGAUCCCAGGGCCCUGCCAUCCCAGCCGAUAACACCACAAAUGGAGACAAGGAUAAAUGAUGCAAAGACUGAACACGUGUGCUAUUUGCAGCAAGGUAACUGCCACACUGCAGAUUCUUAACUCUGCUUGGGCUCAGCAUUCAAUGGAACAGAGAAUCACUUGUGAUUUCCCAGAAUUUCAGAAUAUGUUCGUUUCUUCCCUUGUGUACUACCAGCAGUUGUUUGUAUCCAAUGAGAAAUCUAAAUCUCAGGACUUGUACUUGAAAUAGAAUCAUGGAUCCUUAGCUUGGGAGGAUUUUAAAGAUGAUCUAAGAACGUGGUGUAUAAAUGUUAAUGCCCAUAAUAAAUUCACACAGACCAUAUUUAAUUACAGAUGCUUGGCCUUCAUGCUCAAAACUAUUAAAUAUUUUCAUGAUGGGCACUGUUGUGGAUUUGAAGAGACUAAUCGCAUUUAUUUUAUAGUUAUCCUCUAUGUUCUGGCUUGUCUGUUUUUUCUUGUGUUAGGUCAUUUGUUCAGUUGGUAUUUCCUUUGCAUACUGGUUUCUUCAAUAGAGCAUUUUGGCAUAUCAGGUAACACUUGCUAACAAUGGUUUGAUUUAUCAAUACCAGGAAUUGAAGUAGGUACACUUAAAAAUGUAAAAAAUAAUGUACUCUACUCUAGGGUCAUUACAAAGUCUCGGGCUCUGUAG
rnacentral:lncRNA from 1 species